AACGAACGCUGGCGGCAUGCCUAACACAUGCAAGUCGAACGAGACCUUCGGGUCUAGUGGCGCACGGGUGCGUAACGCGUGGGAACCUGCCCUUAGGUUCGGAAUAACUCCCCGAAAGGGGUGCUAAUACCGGAUAAUGUCUUCGGACCAAAGAUUUAUCGCCUUUGGAUGGGCCCGCGUUGGAUUAGCUAGUUGGUAGGGUAAAAGCCUACCAAGGCGACGAUCCAUAGCUGGUCUGAGAGGAUGAUCAGCCACACUGGGACUGAGACACGGCCCAGACUCCUACGGGAGGCAGCAGUGGGGACUAUUGGACAAUGGGCGAAAGCCUGAUCCAGCAAUGCCGCGUGAGUGAUGAAGGCCUUAGGGUUGUAAAGCUCUUUUACCCGGGAUGAUAAUGACAGUACCGGGAGAAUAAGCGCCGGCUAACUCCGUG
rnacentral:rRNA from 1 species